rnacentral:rRNA from 1 species
UCCUGGCUCAGGAUGAACGCUAGCUACAGGCUUAACACAUGCAAGUCGAGGGCAGCAGGGAUUUAGCUUGCUAAAUCCGCUGGCGACCGGCGCACGGGUGCGUAACGCGUAUCCUAACUUUCCCGUUACUCAGGGAUAGCCUUCCGAAAGGGAGAUUAAUACCUGAUGGUGUUUGAAAUUCGCAUGUUCUUCAAACUAAAGAUUUAUCGGUAACGGAUAGGGAUGCGUGACAUUAGAUAGUAGGCGGGGUAACGGCCCACCUAGUCUACGAUGUCUAGGGGUUCUGAGAGGAAGGUCCCCCACACUGGUACUGAGACACGGACCAGACUCCUACGGGAGGCAGCAGUGAGGAAUAUUGGUCAAUGGACGCAAGUCUGAACCAGCCAUGCCGCGUGCAGGAUGACGGCUCUAUGAGUUGUAAACUGCUUUUGUACAAGGGUAAACCCCGAUACGUGUAUCGGGCUGAAAGUACUGUACGAAUAAGGAUCGGCUAACUCCGUG